rnacentral:rRNA from 1 species
GGAAUCUUCCACAAUGGGCGCAAGCCUGAUGGAGCAACACCGCGUGAGUGAAGAAGGGUUUCGGCUCGUAAAACUCUGUUGUUAAAGAAGAACAUAUCUGAGAGUAACUGUUCAGGUAUUGACGGUAUUUAACCAGAAAGCCACGGCUAACUACGUGCCAG